rnacentral:rRNA from 1 species
AUUGAACGCUGGCGGCAUGCCUUACACAUGCAGGUCGAACGGCAGCGGACCUUCGGGUGCCGGCGAGUGGCGAACGGGUGAGUAAUAUAUCGGAACGUGCCUUUCAGUGGGGGAUAACGUAGCGAAAGUUACGCUAAUACCGCAUAUUCUGUGAGCAGGAAAGCAGGGGAUCGCAAGACCUUGCGCUGAUUGAGCGGCCGAUAUCAGAUUAGCUAGUUGGUGAGGUAAAGGCUCACCAAGGCGACGAUCUGUAGCGGGUCUGAGAGGAUGAUCCGCCACACUGGAACUGAGACACGGUCCAGACUCCUACGGGAGGCAGCAGUGGGGAAUUUUGGACAAUGGGCGCAAGCCUGAUCCAGCCAUGCCGCGUGAGUGAAGAAGGCCUCG